CCUACGGGAGGCAGCAGUGAGGAAUAUUGGUCAAUGGGCUUACGCCUGAACCAGCCAAGUCGCGUGAGGGAAGACUGCCCUAUGGGUUGUAAACCUCUUUUGUCAGGGAGCAACGCCGGCUACGUGUAGCCUGACUGAGAUUACCUGAAGAAAAAGCAUCGGCUAACCCCGUGCCAGCAGCCGCGGUAAUACGGAGGAUGCGAGCGUUAUCCGGAUUUAUUGGGUUUAAAGGGUGCGCAGGCGGAAGAUUAAGUCAGCGGUAAAAUUGAGAGGCUCAACCUCUUCGAGCCGUUGAAACUGGUUAUCUAGAGUGAGUGAGAAGUAUGCGGAAUGCGUGGUGUAGCGGUGAAAUGCAUAGAUAUCACGCAGAACCCCGAUUGCGAAGGCAGCAUACCGGCGCUCAACUGACGCUCAGGCACGAAAGUGUGGGUAUCGAACAGGAUUAGAUACCCGGGUAGUC
rnacentral:rRNA from 1 species